CUGACGGGCGGAGGAGCAGGGGCACCUUGCAGAGGAGCUGUGGUUGAGGAGCCAGGGCGGGCAUCCCUUGUCCUGAGCUGAGGGCCAGCAGCAAGCGAGAUGGAGGGCUGCUGGAGGGUGACCAUCGCCUCUGAUAUGGUUUCCCAGUUCCCAGUGCUCCUGAAUCUCUCCCCCAAAGAGACUGAGGCUAUCUGGGAUGCUGUAUCCGAGCAAAUUCUGGAAGCGCUGAAGCAGGAUAAGGCUAUUCAGGUUGCGGGACUCGGGACCU